CACGUAGGGGGCUAGCGUUGUCCGGAAUCAUUGGGCGUAAAGCGCGUGUAGGCGGCUUGGCAAGUCAGUUGUGAAAGCCCGGGCCCAACCCGGAACUGCAUCUGAAACUGCCUGGCUAGAGUCCGGAGAGGAAGGCAGAAUUCCCGGUGUAGGGUGAAAUCCGUAGAUAUCGGGAGGAAUACCAGCGGCGAAGGCGGCCUUCUGGACGGUGACUGACGCUGAGACGCGAAAGCGUGGGGAGCAAACAGG
rnacentral:rRNA from 1 species